UAAACACACAAGUAGGAACAGAACAGGACUGUCAAACAACUCCUGAAGAAACUUCCAAAGCACAGAUUAAUUUGUCAAGAAGAUGACGUGCUCCAGGUGUUUGCUACUUAUUCUGGUUGUCUACUUCUUGAUGGACGAGCUUUGUGCUUUCCUGAUACCAGAGAGACUGCGAGUGAAAAGAAGCAAUCACAGGUCAGAUCAGGAGAUGUCGCCACACAUCUAUGAGCUCUCUGAUCUGGCAGACUUGUUCCCAGGAAAUGAAGGGGGAAUGACUCGGGACUGGGAACCCAAUCCCGCCAAGACUCCCGAUUUCUUUUCCCCUAUGGAACACAUCAAUGUGCAACCAGCAAACAGCAACCGCCGCAAAAACAAGGAUAAGAGGCGAGUAGAAAUA